rnacentral:rRNA from 1 species
AGUGAACGCUGGCGGUAGGCCUAACACAUGCAAGUCGAACGGCAGCACAGUAAGAGCUUGCUCUUACGGGUGGCGAGUGGCGGACGGGUGAGGAAUACAUCGGAAUCUACUUUUUCGUGGGGGAUAACGUAGGGAAACUUACGCUAAUACCGCAUAAGACCUACGGGUGAAAGCAGGGGAUCUUCGGACCUUGCGCGAUUGAAUGAGCCGAUGACGGAUUAGCUAGUUGGCGGGGUAAAGGCCCACCAAGGCGACGAUCCGUAGCUGGUCUGAGAGGAUGAUCAGCCACACUGGAACUGAGACACGGUCCAGACUCCUACGGGAGGCAGCAGUGGGGAAUAUUGGACAAUGGGCGCAAGCCUGAUCCAGCCAUACCGCGUGGGUGAAGAAGGCCUUCGGGUUGUAAAGCCCUUUUGUUGGGAAAGAAAAGCAGCAGGUUAAUACCCCGCUGUUCUGACGGUACCCAAAGAAUAAGCACCGGCUAACUUCGUG